GUUUUAUUUAAUCUUCCAAAUGGAUCAAAAAAUCAGCCUAGCAUUAGCAGCUAAAGGCAAUAAUCAUCUCCCUGAAAGGCAAAGUGUCAAACUAAUUGGAGAAAACAUGCGGAAGAACAGAUGGCACCAUGUUCCUGAAGAAAACAAAACAAAAAGGCAAAAAAAAUAGAAGCAAAAACCACCUAUAAUGUCUGUUCAUUCUCAGCACUCCUUAGGGACUGAUGAAGAAACUGCUUCAAUAAUUUAAAGUCACAAACAGCCAAUGAAUAAUUUACUUCGUAUUUUACAGUUCUCUAGUUCAAGUCAAACCAACUUACAGAUGUUAUCAUAGGGGCUUUGAUAUUGUGGAAAUUUAUAACAGUUAUCUCAGUAAAACCUAAGUGGCACUUGAGGACAAAAUGAGGUAUCUACCAUUGCUAUCAACCACGACGAUAUUUACCAAAAUGUAAAUGUUACAG
rnacentral:lncRNA from 1 species